AACGAACGCUGGCGGCAGGUCUAACACAUGCAAGUCGAACGGUUCCUUCGGGAAUAGUGGCGCACGGGUGAGUAACGCGUGGGAAUAUACCCUUGACUGCGGAAUAAUAUCUGGAAACGGAUACUAAUACCGCAUAAUGACUCCGGUCCAAAGAUUUAUCGGUCAAGGAUUAGCCCGCGUAUGAUUAGCUAGUUGGUGAGGUAACGGCUCACCAAGGCGAUGAUCAAUAGGGGGUCUGAGAGGAUGAUCCCCCACACUGGUACUGAGACACGGACCAGACUCCUACGGGAGGCAGCAGUGAAGAAUAUUGGACAAUGGAGGAAACUCUGAUCCAGCCAUGCCGCGUGUGUGAAGAAGGCCUUAGGGUUGUAAAGCACUUUCAAUUGUGAAGAUAAUGACGGUAACAAUAGAAGAAGCCCCGGCUAAAUUCG
rnacentral:rRNA from 1 species